rnacentral:rRNA from 1 species
UCGGUGGGGAUUAGUGGCGAACGGGUGAGUAACACGUGGGCAAUCUGCCCUGCACUCUGGGACAAGCCCUGGAAACGGGGUCUAAUACCGGAUACUGAGCCACUUGGGCAUCCAAGUGGUUCGAAAGCUCCGGCGGUGCAGGAUGAGCCCGCGGCCUAUCAGCUUGUUGGUGAGGUAAUGGCUCACCAAGGCGACGACGGGUAGCCGGCCUGAGAGGGCGACCGGCCACACUGGGACUGAGACACGGCCCAGACUCCUACGGGAGGCAGCAGUGGGGAAUAUUGCACAAUGGGCGAAAGCCUGAUGCAGCGACGCCGCGUGAGGGAUGACGGCCUUCGGGUUGUAAACCUCUUUCAGCAGGGAAGAAGCGAAAGUGACGGUACCUGCAGAAGAAGCGCCGGCUAACUACGUGCCAGCAGCCGCGGUAAUACGUAGGGCGCAAGCGUUGUCCGGAAUUAUUGGGCGUAAAGAGCUCGUAGGCGGCUUGUCACGUCGGUUGUGAAAGCCCGGGGCUUAACCCCGGGUCUGCAGUCGAUACGGGCAGGCUAGAGUUCGGUAGGGGAGAUCGGAAUUCCUGGUGUAGCGGUGAAAUGCGCAGA